rnacentral:rRNA from 1 species
GCAGCGACGCCGCGUGAGGGAUGACGGCCUUCGGGUUGUAAACCUCUUUCAGCAGGGAAGAAGCGAAAGUGACGGUACCUGCAGAAGAAGCGCCGGCUAACUACGUGCCAGCAGCCGCGGUAAUACA